AUGUUGCCUAUAAAUACUAAUGCCAUACACAUAUUUUACCAAUAACGCCAUUCCUUUAACUUUGGCUCUAUUCUUUAAAUUCAGUAGCUUCCUUGCUUUUACUGUCCAUCUAUUCCACGACAUACACGGUUUCUCAAUUUCAAAGGCACCAAAACUCCUUUUUCCGUUUUUUUUACUAUAAAUAUUUUGCAAAGGUCAAAUUGUUGGAACAUAUUUUAGAAGCAGAAAGGCAUUCUCCAUCUUUAAUUACGUUCAAGGAAGCCGCAGAAGUCUGGAAAUUGAAAUAUUCUCUUGGAUUACUCUUUCAAAAAUUCAUUGAUCUAAGGAGGUAGGAUACUAUGUGCAAGUUGUUUCGUCCUUUCAAUAUUAUAAUUUUUGACGUGAUUUAUUUCAUGAAAUGCUAAUUGACAUGCGGGUCCCUAUGAAAUGAAAUGUGAGAUCUCCUUCGGGUCUUCUCAAAUAUGUUAGAGUAUUCGAUUGAUCACCGAUUACUCUUGAUGAAAUGAUGGCUGGAUCGGUUGACGUGGAUGGUGGCUGAGCGGUGCACGGGUUGCCAAGUAAAGAAAUUUUCAAGAAAACAUUUAAAAAUAAUUCUUCUAGGACAUUUUGUAUUUCCAUUGAUUUCUAUUUAACGUUUCAUAUUACCUGACGAUACAUUUAUUUGAUUUCGCCUUUGAGUAUUAAAAAAUUUAGGAGUUUUAAAGUUCCAAUUUAUAUUUCUACUUGAUGUAUGUUUAUGAAAUGAUAUCGAUAACACCUCAAGUUUAAAUCGAUGAAAUUUGGGACGUUACAAUAGGACCAUGCCAUAUAUGAUGGAGAAGUUGGAUUUAAUGAGGAAGAAAUUGGAAUGGACAAGAAGACGAAAGGAAGAAAAAGGAACUCACAAUCAAUACAGCUGAAAGCACUGCUAAUUCUGAGAUUCCAUUAAAAUCCAAAGUGGCAGGAGAAAGUGAAGCUGUAACAAUUCACCGCAAGAAAUUUGAGAAAAUAGAAAAUCGAGGUCGACCAAUGAAAACGCCGAUGCUUAUUAGAGAUAAUCUGUCGUGUGGUCUUGUGGAGAAGGGGGUGGACUGGAACGAGAAAGGCAUGAGAAGGGGAUAAUAGAAAAGUCACCGGAACUCACCAUCACUUCUAAAAUUUCCCCAAAAUUGGAGGAAGUUAAAGUAAAUAGCCGCAUCAAGCACCGCCAGGAGGAGACAAACAAGAAGGAAAAGGGGGUCGCAGUCACUUCGCUUUAGGGAGCUUAGUUUUACCAAUCUUCAAGGGAAAGGAAAGAAAGGUUGUGCAAUCAGCUAUCCACUUAUUUCGAUGAAGAGAGCUAAAAAAAUCGACAACUUGUUGGUAGAGGCAAUGGGUUAUGGCGUUACCUUGGAUACUAUAUUGGCGAUAAUUGCUAGAUUCAGUAAGUUUGGUCGCUCCAAAGGGUUGAAAAGUCCCUUUCCAGUUAUGACCAUGACUAGAGUGCUUGCAAGGAAAAUGGCUUGGUUGCUUGAUGAAUUGACCAAAACAAAAAUAGCUUCCAUCUUGAAGUCAAGGUAGAUUUCAAGGCGGCGGGUAAUGAUAGAGUCUAAUAAAGACAUAUUCUAGAAUGUUCAGUAGUUAGAUAGUAGGAGGGAUAAAAAUGCAACAGGCUAUAGUAAGGAUUGCCUAUAAAUAGAAGAGAAAAAGAAUGGGAAAGGCAUGCAAUUGGUUUAGUCUAUUAGUAGA